rnacentral:rRNA from 1 species
GACGACGCUGGCGGCGUGCCUAACACAUGCAAGUCGAACGAAGAAUGUUUUCGGAAUAUUCUUAGUGGCGGACGGGUGAGUAACGCGUAGAACAAUCUGCCCCGUACAAAGGGAUAGCCUCGGGAAACCGGGAUUAAAACCAUAUAACGCUUUAGUACCGCAUGGUAAUAAAGUCAAAUCGAUUAAGAGGUAUGGGAUGAGUUCGCGUCUGAUUAGCUAGUUGGUGAGGUAAGGGCUCACCAAGGCGACGAUCAGUAGCCGGCCUGAGAGGGUGAACGGCCACACUGGAACUGAGACACGGUCCAGACUCCUACGGGAGGCAGCAGUGGGGAAUAUUGCACAAUGGAGGGAACUCUGAUGCAGCGACGCCGCGUGAGUGAAGAAGGUCUUCGGAUCGUAAAACUCUGUCCUUGGUGAAGAAAAGGACGGUAGCCAAGGAGGAAGCCCCGGCUAACUACGUG